CCUGUUGAUGAGGAGGAUUUAAUUAUCCAUGCUCUCGCCGGUGUUGGCACUGAUUUUGCUCCUGUUGCAGCUGCUGCUCGUUUACGUGAUACACCGAUUACCUUUGACGAGUUAUUUGAUAAACUGGAGGCCUUUGAAC